UGGGGAAUUUUGCGCAAUGGGGGAAACCCUGACGCAGCAACGCCGCGUGCGGGAUGACGGCCUUCGGGUUGUAAACCGCUUUCAGUAGGGACGAAUAUAUGACGGUACCUACAGAAGAAGCCCCGGCUAACUACGUGCCAGCAGCCGCGGUAAUACGUAGGGGGCAAGCGUUAUCCGGAUUCAUUGGGCGUAAAGCGCGCGUAGGCGGUCAUUUAAGCGGGACCUCUAAUCUUGGGGCUCAACCUCAAGCCGGGUUCCGAACUAAAUGACUCGAGUGUGGUAGGGGAGAUCGGAAUUCCCGGUGUAGCGGUGGAAUGCGCAGAUAUCGGGAAGAACACCGAUGGCGAAGGCAGAUCUCUGGGCCAUUACUGACGCUGAGGCGCGAAAGCUAGGGGAGCAAACAGG
rnacentral:rRNA from 1 species